CGCAUUACUAAAAUAUCGACGGGAGCACCUGGCAGAGAACGCUUGAUACUGCUGCACGCGUGGCCUGACGGAGAUUUCUUUGAAAACACGCGUGGCAGUCAACGUGUUAAAGUGGUCCAAAAAUUAGCAUUUUUUCUGAUAAACUACACCUUGUUCAAUGCAUAUAAAAUGUACUGUACCUAUCUGCCAGAAAAUAAAACAAGAUACAACAAAUUUCUACUGCAAGUAGCUAGAGAAUGGAUAACUGUGGAUUGCAAAGAAUGCAGCAUUGCACCUGACACUUUUCGAAUUUCUAAAACAGCUGCUUAUUAUAAUGAUACACCUUUUAGGCUUUUCGGACGACUAAGAGACCACGUUUUAGAAAAAAUAGUCACUGGCAGAGAAACAAAUCCGACUGGAGCGUGUACAGUAUGCUGUUAAAAGAAGGAAAACGCAGCAAAACUAGAUAUAUUUGCAAAAGCUGUUGUGAUUGUUACAGUGUUUAUCAUACGAAAAAGAAAUAUCGAAAGUUGAAUAAUAAAUACAAUUUAUUAAAGUUUAUUUAUAUUGUUUUACUUCCACAUGCAAUUACGAGAUAAUAACCGGUGACAUGAGAUAAAUUCUCAGUAAAAUUGCCGGUUAACAAUGUGUUGAUAACAAAUCUGUUACAAAGUUUACCAGAAAAAUGGAGAAUCGAUUUUCCAAGUUCUAAAUUACCGUUCUUCUCUCGUGAUCUAUUUUAUUCAGCAAAUGACUGCCGGUAAAACAAAAGAAAAGUAAAAAAUGUCGCUUGACGGGUAGUUUGGAUUCUAUAGAAUUCACAUAAAUAUAAAUAAUUUUCUGCUGGGUGAAGUAGUGAAGCAAUUAAAGCGCAGAUAAAUUAUGUACAUAAAUAUAAAUAAUUUUUGCGCGACUAAAGCAGUGAAGCAAUUAAACUAAAUUUAAAAUUAAUAUUUUAAUAGCGGGCAAACUCAACGGCUUGCCACAUCGUAUCGUUCCGUCUACUAAAGCCACAAAUUAUCAUGAUCGGAGUCACGUGAACGCGUACACAAACCUGGCGAUAAAUAAUAUCAACAGAAUAUAUAUUAAUUUAUCGUUGGAACAUUGUAACAGCUUAAAACAAUCCGAAUCGCCGGAAAAAGAACUUGUAUAUUAUCGUACGCCUUGUAUCAAGAGUAUCAUAAUACAAUGGUUUAUUUCCUCUCAUAAAAAUCUCAUUCAUCGCAUCUGCAAGCAACGUUUAGAUCCUUCACUUUCUCUGCCUACAUCAAUCUGCAAUUUCCUGCCGGGCUAAAAAGCUAAUUGUAAAUAGCAAGCUCGGUGGCUGGAAGAAGGAAGAAGGACGCGCUCUAGAAAUCGCCUGACAACUGCAGGAAAAAGCGCCGAGACCUGGCGAACGAGAACAGGCUAGCCGAACUAAAACCCUUCGUGAAAUCUGAGAUCUUGAUGCGUCGUCGAGACGCGAAUUUAAUUUACGCCAGUCGACAGUCCAUUCGCGACUUUGAACGUGCAUUAUCCGGCUACGUGUUCGCCCGGACGUAUUAAUCAUUUUUACGCUGGAAGUCACGCGACCAAAGGAAGAUUUAUAAUUCCAUUAUGAUCUCGUUAAGCGAUAAACAGAAUCGUAAUCGUCGUUCGCAAUGGCCGGCGAGUUUCCUACAAUUUUCUUAUUUCAAGCCGCAGCGUGGCUCGCUGCGGUUAUGAAAACUGAAAUUUCUCGAAAUCCGCGUACUCAUCGUAUUAGCUAACCGCUCGGAUGUUAGCUAAACGCAUUCGAGCGCGUCUGACGUGCUUCAGUUUUUUACUCCUAACGUUCUUCCAUCACCUUGGACAGAAAUAAAUUAGACUUCAGCUAUACUCUUUUUAGCGUUUUCCAGCUCUGAUUUUCCGUGAAUUACGUUGCGUUUAAUCUGACCGCGAGCUUGGCUCGAACUCGCAGCUGCAUGUGAGAAUUGCUGUGAAAAGGCAGAAAGUUCGCGCACUUGUCCGCGUUCAUCGAAACCAAAAUCAUCGUCAAAUUUAUCGCUGAUAAAAUGUUACCGAGUGAACGUUUUUUAAAACUUUACAUCGCCACUCCGCGAACUUUUCCAUUCGGUUUUAAGUGGAAUACGAACGUCUGUUCACCGAGGAUUUUUGUUUGCCCUCAGUUUGUUUCAGAAACAGUUUGCAGUUUUUUUUAAAUUUUCAUUCGGCGAUAAUCUUCUCUUGGACGGCGGACGAAUGAAAAUUUUGAACAAAUGUAAACAAGAAGAAGAAGAAGAACGACAGUAGGGACCCAAGCGAGGUAAAAAUACGCAAGAAACGAGCAACCAAUUUUUGUCAAAGUCAGAAGAAAAUGAUACGUUUAAAAAACCAAUUGAUCGAUGAACAAAAAAUUGCAGAAAAUACCAAAGCUAUUGACAUAUAUCGAAUAUGGAGAAGAUUGUAUUUAAUUGCUGGAAAUUUGGAGUAAUAAGGCCGUUUCCGAUGCUUUUCCUAGCGUUUCAAGCGUUAUGACUCAGAAUGAAAACAUUUCCGUACUGCGUUUACGUAAUCUUUCCUCCAUAAUACCUGCAACCUACGUUCUCAGAAGUCGAUUAAGUCUUUUACACCCUCUGCACUAGAAGAACCACUGAAAACAAUUCUGAACGUAAAUUAGAGACAAUAAAAUACGAAUCUGAAACUUGAUCACAAACAGAUUCCUCGAAACGGAAGUUUCUAAAAGUUGUUGUAUGAACGAUAUAAUAAAAUAAUUUGUGAUAACGUGAGAAACAAAAAUAAUGUGAUAAUACAAUAAACAGAUAAUUAAUGUAAUAAAUAGAUAAUUAUAUUUAUAAUUUGUAAGCGUAUGUCUUUAAGAAUAUUACUUACAAUGUGAAUAACCUUGUGCAAUUAAUUGCAAUUUUAAUUUGCUAAUAAAUCGGCUAAUGUUACUAUAGAUUCAUCUUGAAUUUUCAAAGACCAAAAUUCUGUAUUUUGGAACUCAUGGAAAAGGUCUUUAGAUAAAUCUGCAAUGUGAAAUCUGAAAUCUGAAGCCUGAAGUCCAAAGAAAUGUAAAACCUAAAAAGAUCUGAAAGAUCCAGUUGCUUUGAAAAUGUUAAGACUGUAACCACUUAAUGCUCGUUCUCGCUCCUUUGCUUGCAACGAAACUUUCAACUGUUCUCGACUUCGACCUAAUCCUACUUUAUCUCUGACAAUUGAAAAUUUGUAGCGGGCGUAAUUCAAGUACGACAUAGUGAAGAGUUUAAAAAUGGGUGAAACUCAAGUUUGGUGGAGAAAUUUAUCGUCGGCAGGCGUAACAGGUAGAGAGAAAUAAAUCUUUAGUCGACACACGAACGCUGAAAGUUUCGCUUCUCGCGAGCCGUUACGUAACCGGUGGCUCACCGAUAUAAUCGAGCCUUGCUAUUUUCGUAUUUCAGUUUUCGUUGUAUUGUUCUCGCCUAUUGUUCCUUCUCUUCUCUUCGAUCAACAUUGAGAACUACGAGAACGAAAAGAGCAGAGAAACGCGAUCAAAAGUGGCAAAUACUUUUCUUUAGCGUUCCACGUGCAAACGUAAUUGCAGUCUAAUUGUAGGUCGAAUUAGUUGGUGGGCAUCGUAAGCAGUUUGUUUGUUAAUUAGAAUCGCCACUUGGCGCAGUAACCUGCCAAAUUCUACGCCGGGCAUGUGUGUACUUCCUUUUCGAAAUUGAGACAUCAUUUCCAAUUGGAAAGUAUGCACUAUAUUUACGUGCUUUUUUGUUAUUCUAUUAUUUAUUAUAAAAAAUGAAAUUAAAGCAUAAGGUAAAAUUUUUUGAGGGAAAAGGACAGGAAAUUAGCAAGAGGAUAUUUUGCGUAGCUAAUUGAAAAUAUAUUUUUCUGGUUUCACUUUUCUGUAUUAGUUCAACGACACUUGAAUGCGCUUCGCUUUUAAUUAUUUUUUACACGUGUGCAUUCAUUAAGAUUCCAGUCAACGUUGCAAUUCCAACAAAUUUUGCACAAGCACUGGCAUAUAGCGUGAACGAAUAUGUGCUUCCUGAAAUAGUCUAUGAUUGUUGUUAAAAAAUGUUAUACAAGUAUUAAAAAAAGAAAAAAUAUUAUACACACGAAUAAAAAUUAUGAGAUUAUAUAAAUAUAAAUAUUUUGUUGUAUUAUGGUAGAUACCGUUAAAUU